UACAGAGGUCUCAAGCGUUGUUCGGAUUCAUUGGGCGUAAAGGGUGCGUAGGCGGCGCGGUAAGUCGGGUGUGAAAUCUUGGAGCUUAACUCCGAAACUGCAUUCGAUACUGCCGUGCUUGAGGACUGGAGAGGAGACUGGAAUUUACGGUGUAGCGGUGAAAUGCGUAGAUAUCGUAAGGAAGACCAGUGGCGAAGGCGGGUCUCUGGACAGUUCCUGACGCUGAGGCACGAAAGCGUGGGGAGCGAACCGG
rnacentral:rRNA from 1 species